UAUAUCUGAAGUUGCAGUCGCGUAUUGAUCCUGCUAAUAUUCCUUAGCACUUAACCUUUACACUAGCCGGACGGGAUAUGAAGUUCCUUAUUGAAUGUGUACUUUAAUGUCCUUCUCUUGUGACGGACCUAAUCGAUAGCCUCUUCUUCAUUAGUUAGCACAGCGCUCAUCCUCCCACCACCAAAGCUGAAAUUUAUCAACGUAUUCCAAAAAGGGAAAGCAGGUGCUUGUUAGGCCAGGUGUCGAUUCUGUUAACAGUGCACGGUGUUGAAUCAAUACAGGCCUUCUUGAGCGUCCUUGCGUGAGAGAACAUUUACAGUUUUUUUUUAAUGUCAUCGGAACAUUUAAUGGAGAAAGUAUAAAUAGUUUGAAUAGAAAGCAACCCCGGGGACAUUAAAGUGGCUGAUAUUGGCCAUUUCAACUCCACCUGAACUAUUAAAGCACUUUUUAGCAUCUUUGCUCUUUUCUAAUAGUAAGGUGCUGUUUUUAUUUUCGUUCCCCUUAUGUAGGCAAUAUGUUUUUUUAGAGACACACAAUUAAUCCCCCUCAAAGCUGCAUCUGUUCCUGGGCAUACCUUUACCUGAAAUCCAGCGCCCGCCGCCCGAAUUACAUCCAUCUUCCCCGCGCAAUCAGCUGACACAUUAUCUCAUUAAAACGUACAAAGAAAACUCCUUCUCUUUAUCUGCGAUAAUCUAAUUAGCACGAGGCAGAUGGUUUAAUAAGCGAUAUGUGCGCCGUUUAGCCUCCCAGAGGCCCAGGUGGAUAUCCGGGGAACCUCCUCUGGUAGACAUCUCUCUCCCCGCCUGCGAAUGACUCUCCUGGGCUCAUAUUAUUGCUUCCUCUGCCUGAGGGUAGCGCGACGCUCCUUGCUCUCCAGAUAUGAAUACAGAGAGAGAAGCAAAGGGAAUCAAACAAGAUGGAAGCCUAAUUAUUUUGCUUAUUAACCAAGCCUAACUAGUUAACAGAUGUUCUGAGGUUUGCGAGGCGAAUUAAUUUAUUGCUCCUUUUAUUUCCUGCCUAAUUUCAGAUUGUUUGUCUUGUCUACGUGGUAAUCGGCGCUAAUGGCGUUGGGUGGAAAUCGCCCGCGGGUGAAGAUCAAUAUCAUAUUAUGCAAUCCGCCCGUCCGACUCUCUGCGCGAGUCAAUCAGACAUGACUAGAAAGAGCAGAAGGGCAGAGAGAGGCGGAAAAAGUCCAGUGACCAGAUUACAUUACAACCUUGUUUUUCUUCCAUUUCUGACAGUUCUGCCGGCUGAUAAUGAGAGGCCGACCCGAUGCCCAGACGUGAGCGCUCAGACGAAGUCCAGCCGACAGCCCGGCCAUGGUCACUACAUCCUGAAUCUAGGCAAAUAGGAGCCGGGCAGGCAGCCUUCUCUCCGCUUGGAGGAUCCGCUCAAUUACCUUCCCAACUUUUCAGCCGAAAUCCUCUCGCUGACCGCCUGAGAGCAGCCGUAAUGAGAGCGGAUUUAGAAUAAAAAGAUGUGCCUAUCUAAGGUGGAAAAAGUCAGCCCGCACUCAGAUUGACGGCUGGAAAUGGGAAGAAGGUCAAGGCGAAGCCCGUGAUGCGUCUCCCCGCUGAAAGAUAUGCCGGAACGGCCCAGCGGAGCCGGGGAGAGGGGUGGUCCGCUCAAAGCCCGAGAUGUGCUCAUAUUUGGCCAUCGUAAGUUUGGAAGUUCACCUCAUCUCUACCAGCAUUAUGAUGUCUAAAGAUGCUGCGAUACAAACUUCACUUGUUAGAGAUUAAAAAUCUAACGUGAAGAGGUGGCAGUUGGCUCUGAGAGGAGGACAGAAGUUAAUUACACACGACUGUGAAUUGGAACAAUAUCUAAUUGCUGGCUGGAUUAAUUACCAGCAUCUGUGUGCACGCCUAAACAAGAGCCCUCAUAAAUAACAGCAGCAGAAUCAAUUAAGCGGGGCAAGUCGGGGAUCUCUGGGAAGGCUGCAGGUUUGGAGAGGCCUUGAGCCCGAGAUUUGGAUGCCGUGGAGGUGGGCUAUCCAGUGGAUAUGCAUAAACAGGGGCCGGGGAGGAUGAAAGCCGCUCUGCAGAUAAAGCCGUAGCGGUCUGUCGGAAUCCUGCUGCGUCUGCCCUGAUUUAUGACCAUCACAGUCAGACUCCUUACCAAAUCCACCUCUGCCUUUUGUUCAGCGAACGCGUUUGCCUUGUGUGUAUCGCAGCCAGCUUACACCGAAGGGUCAAAGACAAUUCAUUCAUAGAAACU